GGUUCUCUAAUUUGAUCAUGGUUAGGUUUCAUUGGUUAGGGUUAUGGCUAGAUGUAAUAUAAAAGGGAAGGAUGGAGAGUUUCGGGGGCAUUUGUGAAUUACAAUACCUCAUCUUCUCUCCUUGGAGGCGAUCAGCCACCGUCAGGUAAACUACUUGCUUAUUUAUAAGUUAUAAAAGAAUGGCAGAUGGCCAUGAGACUGAUAAGAACAUUGAGAUAUGGAAGAUUAAAAAGCUUAUAAAAGCAUUAGAAGCUGCUCGAGGCAAUGGCACAAGCAUGAUUUCCCUAAUCAUGCCUCCUCGUGAUCAGAUCUCCCGUGUUACUAAGAUGCUUGGUGAUGAGUUUGGAACUGCUUCAAACAUUAAAAGCAGGGUCAAUCGUCAAUCUGUGCUAGGUGCAAUUACUUCUGCUCAACAAAGGCUCAAACUUUACAACAAGGUUCCAUCAAAUGGGCUUGUGCUUUACACAGGAACAAUUGUUACUGAUGACGGAAAGGAAAAGAAGGUGACAAUAGACUUUGAACCUUUUAGACCCAUAAAUGCAUCUCUUUACCUGUGUGACAACAAGUUCCAUACAGAAGCUCUAAAUGAGCUUCUGGAGUCCGAUGACAAGUUUGGCUUUAUUGUCAUGGAUGGUAAUGGAACCCUUUUUGGGACUCUAAGCGGCAACACCCGAGAGGUGCUGCAUAAAUUUACUGUUGACCUGCCUAAGAAACAUGGAAGAGGAGGGCAAUCAGCCCUUCGAUUUGCUCGACUUCGAAUGGAGAAGCGCCACAACUAUGUGAGGAAAACAGCUGAACUUGCCACCCAGUUUUUUAUUAAUCCUGCUACAAGUCAGCCUAAUGUUUCAGGAUUAAUUCUUGCUGGAUCUGCCGACUUCAAGACUGAGCUGAGUCAGUCUGAUAUGUUUGAUCCUCGGCUUCAGGCUAAAAUUCUGAAUGUGGUUGAUGUUUCAUAUGGGGGUGAGAAUGGUUUUAAUCAGGCAAUUGAAUUAUCAGCAGAAAUUCUCUCAAAUGUGAAGUUUAUACAGGAAAAGCGCUUGAUUGGCAAGUACUUUGAGGAGAUUAGCCAGGAUACUGGGAAGUAUGUCUUUGGUGUGGAUGACACUCUGAAGGCUCUAGAAAUGGGUGCUGUUGAGACUCUCAUUGUAUGGGAAAAUUUAGAUAUUAGUAGGUAUGCAUUGAAAAACAGCACCACUGGUGAGAUUGUCAUAAAGCAUUUGAACAAGGAACAAGAGGCUAACCAGAAUAAUUUUAGGGAUUCAGCCACAUCCGCUGAGUUGGAAGUCCAGGAUAAGAUGCCACUGCUUGAGUGGUUUGCUAAUGAGUACAAGCGGUUUGGUUGCACUCUUGAGUUUGUUACCAAUAAGUCACAAGAAGGAUCCCAGUUUUGCAGAGGGUUUGGUGGGAUUGGUGGGAUUCUUCGUUACCAGCUUGAUAUGAGGGAUUUUGAUGAGCUUUCUGAUGAUGAAGUUUAUGAUGAGUCUGAAUAGCAAUCAGCCAAUUCUACCCCAUUGCUGGUGCAGGAGAAUGGGGUGAAACAGCCUGCACCAGCAAGCGCGGCUCGCGGCACGCUGCGCUCGGUUGUUGAUACUGGAAAGAUUUAUCACACUACUAAUUGAGGGGAAUCAUGAAACGUCUGUGUUGAAGCAAAGCAUAAUAUGGUGAUGCUAUUUGGUUUUCAUGAUGGAGCAGCUGGGUGUUCUGUGAAGUUGAAAAGUACCCUUGUGUCUACCGGUUCAGUUUGGCCAGAGUCUAAGGAGGUGCUGGGUAAGCAAGGUUGAUGUCUAGAUGAGGCCUGCAGGUUUUGGGCUUCAACAGUAUUCAAGUUUUAAUAUGAUUAUGGUUUUUGAGAACUGCUUUAUGUGUGCUCGUGUGUUAUUGUCUCUAUAAUAAGUUGAUACUCUCUGGAGAUUCAUUGAUGGAUGGUUCUGAACUUUGAGACUUAUUUAUGACAUUGUGUGUUUGUAUUUUAUUUGA